GGCUUGUAAAAGUCGAUUAGACAUGAACGAGGAGCUGGGAUUGAUGCCUGCCCUUUGGGGAAGGAUUUUGGUGAAAGGCUCUCAGAGCAGCUUGGAUUUAUUCCAGUGGUGAAAAAGAUACGCAAGAUGGGACAGAUAAGUGAUUUAUCAGAUAUACUUGUCUGUCAUUGCUUUUGUGCCUGUAUGUGUCAUUAUGGAUUAACAAGACUGAAGGAAUGACAGCUUGGUGACAGGACUGAGUUUUACUCAUCUAACUUGCGCUGUGAUCAGUACAGUAUAUGCAAUGCACACAAAGAACAGAUACUUUAUCAUCAUACUUCAAUGGACGUUCACCCACACAGAUACAAACGGAAUGUCCCCCCACACACACACACUCAGACGCACUCCCUCUCUUGACACCAGUGAAACAAUCUAACCAUGCAGAGUUCAGACUCCUUCCCUCCCCCUCUCUUCUCUUCUUUCCUCUCUCCCCCAUUCCUCCCUCAUUCCCUAUCUUCCCCCUCAGGAUAGGUUCAGGGUAAGGGCAGCUGAGAGAGGGAGAGGAUGGAGGAAGAGAAGGUAUGGAAGGAGGUGCAGCAGCAGCAGCAGCUGUCCACUAAUGAAGUGCCUGGCUCCCACUAUAAACCACUACAGACAGAUUUAGCCAGAGGAGCUCCAGUGACUGAUGUUCCGUCCUUCAUGUGUGGAUUGAUGGGCACAUCUGCUCCGCACUUAAGGCCGACACUCCUCUCCCCAAGUCCCAUCCUGACCCUCGCCAGCCUGGCUUGACUCUACCUCAACGGAUCCUGACCUUCCUCAGCCUGGCCGGGCCUGGCACAACGCGGCUUGCGUUGGCCCAGGCUGCUCUUACCGGUGGACGAGGGGGAGGCUGAACCUUGGGGCUAGCAGAUAUACGAGGCCUAACUGCUUUUUCAUUAAGCGGACUGUCAGUAUGAAAAAGCCCUUUCUUUUACCUUGUUUUGCUUCUGCUUUCUCUCUCGUACUCCUCCUCCUACGCCUCAUAUGUCUCCCUAAUACUUUUACGUUCAAGGACGGAGCAGUCGUUAGGUGCUUCACAGUGGAGAGGAGCUGAAAUGAAGGUGCGUCAUUCUAAACUGCUCCCAUUUCCAUAUGGAGAGAGAUGCUCCCGACAUUUCCUCCUCGUCAUGAGCUCGGAGAGUCCAAACUCCCAUCUGUCUUCGGUGUGUUUCUUUGCACAGGACGCUUUUAGUCACACUUGUCUGUGUCUCUGUGUGUCCAUCUGCAAGCCAGUCCCAAAGCAGAGAGGGGUUGCAUUCCGGAAAGCUGUGUAAUAAAUGCUGUUGCCGCACGACGGGAGCAACACACCUUACAUCGUUUUUUAGACGACACAUAAGCAAAAAAGUCCAGGUUUUUCUUUUUUAUGUCAAAAACAAUACAUCUCUGUUAUCUCUUCUUUCUCCACAGUGGCAUGAAAAUCGACACAAUUACUGAUAGUACUUCAAAGACGUUGCCACUCAUACAGCUAGACACAAACACACACACACACACACUCUUCAUCACAUUCGCACGCUCAAAUCAAACGUUUGUUACUGGACAUGCAAACAAAACAAUAAAAAGCAAAACAAAAAUAUCACACAAAAAAAGAAACUUUCAAAUCAAAAGUACAUUAUCCGCUGGAGCAGGGCUUCUCGAUUAUAUUACAUUCUUCUUAUUGUCUCUGUUUUAUGCUGUUAAAUCAUUCAUAGUAAUUCCAGUACAUUGCUGGGUGGCCACAAGCAUGUGGCAGCUAGUUUGUCAAGUUGACCUGUUGUGACGGUGGACGUCCCAGACGCUCGGGGGUGGAUUUGUCAUCUCGGUGUCAGAGGAGACUCCAAGGAGAGCAGGGGAAAGCAGGAGGAGGAAGACAAAGAGGAAGAGGAGGAAGAAUUCUGGUCGUGGCAAGCAAGGCUCUGUGUUGCAAGGAGCAAGGAUCCUGUUCAUGAUGGACGGCAGCAGCUGUGGAGAAAGGAAAGGGGGGAAGGAAAAGAGAGGCUGCAUCAGUCAUGGUGGUUUUGAAUAUAAACAAUUUCUGCUUGGCAUCCAGUCCUGACCAACAAUACAGCUCUGCAGCUCCAGCCCAAUGGAACAUUCGACUCAUCUGCUAAACAAAAUCGAAUGCCAAAGCCAGAGCAUCCGGAGACGGCGAGCGGCCGCCCUACAGGGAGAAAAUAUGGAUUUCGUGGCAACGAUGUAUUAACUUGUGUGCACCACAUGCUGUUGUGUGUACAUAAUAUAUGAAACAUGCCCUUGACUUACUAGCACACAUCAAAAGCAGACAUUUAACUAGCUCCUAAAUGAAUACUCUAUGUAUAGAUUCAACAGCCAGUGCAACCGCAGCAUGCUUUUUUAUAAUGCCAACUGAAAUAAAUCCUUUGUAGGGCUAUCAAGCUGAAAUGUUGAUUAAUUAUAUCACAUCAACAUCCAAUUCAUUAUGUGUUGUUUCAUGUUCAAAAAAGGCUUGUUCAGGAUUUUUGUUCUCUUUGUAUUACAUGACUUAACUGAAAUACCUGAA